AUCUAUCACUGCUAAUCUAUCACUGCUAAUCUAUCACUGCUAAUCUAUUA
rnacentral:sRNA from 2 species